GCUUACGACCACACCGGCCUGAGUACGCCUGAUCUCGGAAGCUAAGCAGGGUUGGGCCUGGUUAGUACUUGGAUGGGAGACCGCCUGGGAAUACCAGGUGCUGUAAGCU
rnacentral:rRNA from 1 species